AGUUAAGCACUCAGAAACAGACAAAGUUGCAGUGAAUGAAGUUGCUGUAAUACCAAUUACUUCAUAAGCUGUAGAAUCACUGCAAAGAAGGGACAGCAUCAGUUGCUUCAAGAGCUGUAGAUUGGCUGCAAAGAAGGGCCAGGUAUGGAGAACACUUGGCCCAAGCUGUGAAGACAACAAUCUCUCCCUGCUUUUGCAUCAUAGUUUUCAGGUGACACUGAUCCUGCCUCUCAUUCUUUGCAGGUGGAUGCUAAUUAGGAGUUUCUAACCUUGCCUGCUGCCCAAGUUAAUCCUAGGUUUGUUUUGCCAACAACUUUCAGAUGUUUACUCAUAGCAGGUUGAGUUGACAAAAGUUGGAAACCUCAGGUUUGGUCCUAGCUCUGAGAUUCUUAUUUUCCCCCUCCAAAGGGUCACUCUUCAUGCUCUCUCAAGCCAUCUUUCCUCAUCUCCUCUCACUUUUUUCAACUCCCUGAGAAGAUGUAGCAAGGCAGGUGUUGGUCUCUUCUCCUUAUGUGGCCUUAUGUUGCACCAGGGGAGGGUUAGGUUGGAUAUUGUAAGAAAUGUCUUCACUAAAAAGGCUCUCAAACACUGGAACAGGCUUGCUCAAGAAAGUGGUUGAUUUCCCAUCCCUGGAGGUGUUUCAAAGAGGCAGAGAUGCAGUGCCUUCUCAUUACACUGUACAAACCCAUUCUGGAAUGUAUUUAGCUGUGGCUCAGACAGUACAGGAAGGAGAAUUUAGCUUCUCUCUCAUUUCACAUCCCCAAUUUUUCAUCUUUUAACUGCAAACACACCUCAGGGCUUCCAGAUGCUUUCCUGCCUCUACAGGCUCUUGUGCUUGCUUCUGCAUAAUACAAAAGCUUCACGACACAUGUAGCUAUGUGACACUAAAUCUUUGUUGCUCACAGGUAAUCUGUUGAGCUCAACAGGAUUGUUUAUGUGAGCAGCAACUGUUCUUCAUGUCUGCAAGGAUGCAGAAGUGGACUGGACAGGUCUGGGCUUCACGCUAUGAACAGUCAGCCUUCUGAGAGAGAAAUGACAUGGGAACCAAGGACUAGAGUGAUGCUGAGGUACAGGGUUUGGGGCACAAACCAUCCCGAGGUAAACAGCACCAUGAAGGACGUAGCCUGGAGGGAAACUUGUGUCCAAGCCUACACUGUGCUGCUCUCCUUCCACUCUGAGCUUUUCCCCUUCACUGCUUCCUUGCUAACCAUAAGGGGACUUGGGCAGCUGAGAAGGCUCCUGCAAACACCGUCAUCAGGAGUUGCCAAGAAGGAGGAAGACUGUGGGUAUCUUGGAAGAAAAGCUCUCAGAACAAAUCCUUCGAUGCCUGGACAAAAUGAAAGCUUGGUUUGUAACGAUAAAAGCAUUCAUUGCACAUCA